AACCCCUUUUUUUCUCAUGCCCCAACUAACAAUGGCACUCUUGGGGGGGUGCCGGGGUCAAAAAAGCAGGAAGAGGGGGGGGAGGUCAAAUCAUCACUCUCCCUUUUACAUGGGGUACACCCGUGCUCCAAAAGGCGGGGCAACAAGUGGCAAACUCGCGAGGGCAAGAUAAUCUUUUAAAACCGUUUUCAGUUCGGAUUGUAGGGGCAACUCGCCUACAUGAAGUUGGAAGAAUUUAGUAAUUAUGAAUCAGCAUGUCGCGGUGGAUAAGUUCCCGGGCGUUGUACACCCCCCCCGUCACCCCAUGAGAGUUUGUUACACCCAAACAAAGGUGGGGUAACCUUUUAGGAGCUAGCCGUGUAAGGUGGGACAGAUGAUUGGGGUGAAGUGCGUAAGUCA
rnacentral:rRNA from 1 species